rnacentral:rRNA from 1 species
UUAAGCGACUAAGCGUACACGGUGGAUGCCCUGGCAGUCAGAGGCGAUGAAGGACGUGCUAAUCUGCGAUAAGCGUCGGUGAGGUGAUAUGAACCGUUAUAACCGGCGAUUUCCGAAUGGGGAAACCCAGUGUGUUUCGACACACUAUCAUUAACUGAAUCCAUAGGUUAAUGAGGCGAACCGGGGGAACUGAAACAUCUAAGUACCCCGAGGAAAAGAAAUCAACCGAGAUUCCCCCAGUAGCGGCGAGCGAACGGGGAGGAGCCCAGAGCCUGAAUCAGUGUGUGUGUUAGUGGAAGCGUCUGGAAAGGCGCGCGAUACAGGGUGACAGCCCCGUACACAAAAAUGCACACAUUGUGAGCUCGAUGAGUAGGGCGGGACACGUGGUAUCCUGUCUGAAUAUGGGGGGACCAUCCUCCAAGGCUAAAUACUCCUGACUGACCGAUAGUGAACCAGUACCGUGAGGGAAAGGCGAAAAGAACCCCGGCGAGGGGAGUGAAAAAGAACCUGAAACCGUGUACGUACAAGCAGUGGGAGCCUCUUAAUGGGGUGACUGCGUACCUUUUGUAUAAUGGGUCAGCGACUUAUAUUCUGUAGCAAGGUUAACCGAAUAGGGGAGCCGAAGGGAAACCGAGUCUUAACUGGGCGUUAAGUUGCAGGGUAUAGACCCGAAACCCGGUGAUCUAGCCAUGGGCAGGUUGAAGGUUGGGUAACACUAACUGGAGGACCGAACCGACUAAUGUUGAAAAAUUAGCGGAUGACUUGUGGCUGGGGGUGAAAGGCCAAUCAAACCGGGAGAUAGCUGGUUCUCCCCGAAAGCUAUUUAGGUAGCGCCUCGUGAAUUCAUCUCCGGGGGUAGAGCACUGUUUCGGCAAGGGGGUCAUCCCGACUUACCAACCCGAUGCAAACUGCGAAUACCGGAGAAUGUUAUCACGGGAGACACACGGCGGGUGCUAACGUCCGUCGUGAAGAGGGAAACAACCCAGACCGCCAGCUAAGGUCCCAAAGUCAUGGUUAAGUGGGAAACGAUGUGGGAAGGCCCAGACAGCCAGGAUGUUGGCUUAGAAGCAGCCAUCAUUUAAAGAAAGCGUAAUAGCUCACUGGUCGAGUCGGCCUGCGCGGAAGAUGUAACGGGGCUAAACCAUGCACCGAAGCUGCGGCAGCGACACUAUGUGUUGUUGGGUAGGGGAGCGUUCUGUAAGCCUGUGAAGGUGGCCUGUGAGGGUUGCUGGAGGUAUCAGAAGUGCGAAUGCUGACAUAAGUAACGAUAAAGCGGGUGAAAAGCCCGCUCGCCGGAAGACCAAGGGUUCCUGUCCAACGUUAAUCGGGGCAGGGUGAGUCGACCCCUAAGGCGAGGCCGAAAGGCGUAGUCGAUGGGAAACAGGUUAAUAUUCCUGUACUUGGUGUUACUGCGAAGGGGGGACGGAGAAGGCUAUGUUGGCCGGGCGACGGUUGUCCCGGUUUAAGCGUGUAGGCUGGUUUUCCAGGCAAAUCCGGAAAACCAAGGCUGAGGCGUGAUGACGAGGCACUACGGUGCUGAAGCGACAAAUGCCCUGCUUCCAGGAAAAGCCUCUAAGCAUCAGGUAACAUCAAAUCGUACCCCAAACCGACACAGGUGGUCAGGUAGAGAAUACCAAGGCGCUUGAGAGAACUCGGGUGAAGGAACUAGGCAAAAUGGUGCCGUAACUUCGGGAGAAGGCACGCUGAUAUGUAGGUGAAGCGACUUGCUCGUGGAGCUGAAAUCAGUCGAAGAUACCAGCUGGCUGCAACUGUUUAUUAAAAACACAGCACUGUGCAAACACGAAAGUGGACGUAUACGGUGUGACGCCUGCCCGGUGCCGGAAGGUUAAUUGAUGGGGUUAGCGGCAACGCGAAGCUCUUGAUCGAAGCCCCGGUAAACGGCGGCCGUAACUAUAACGGUCCUAAGGUAGCGAAAUUCCUUGUCGGGU